GACGAACGCUGGCUGCGUGCUUAACACAUGCAAGUCGAACGAGAGCGUCGAGAAAGCUUGCUUUUUCUUCAAUCUAGUGGCAAACGGGUGAGUAACACGUAAACAAAAUGCCCUCCGCAUGGGGACAACAGCUGGAAACAGCUGCUAAAACCGAAUACGAUACCAAACUCGCAUAACUAUAGGGAGAAAGGGUGGCCUCUAUUUAUAAGCUAUCGCCGGCUGAGGGGCUUGCGGAUGAUUAGCCAGUUGGAGGGGGCACGGUCCACCAAGGCUACGGUAAGGAGCAGGUCUGGUAGGAUGAGCAGCCACCUCGGAAUUGGGACACGGUCAAGACCCAUACGGGAGGCAGCAGUAGGGAUGCUUCAGCAAGGGGCGAGAGCCUGAGGGUGCAACGCCGCGGGAGUGAAGACGGCGUUCGGGUUGUGAAUCUUUGUCAUACGGGACGAAGAAUCUUGUGGUUAAUACCCAUGAGAAGUGACGGUACCGUAAGAGAAAGCCACGGCUAACUACGUG
rnacentral:rRNA from 1 species